rnacentral:tRNA from 1 species
AAGAAUGAAGCAUCAAUUAUGAUGCACCUCGUUUACACCGGGCGGAGCUUUAAUGGUGAAAGCAUUCUUA